rnacentral:rRNA from 1 species
AUUGAACGCUGGCGGCAGGCCUAACACAUGCAAGUCGGACGGUAGCACAGAGAGCUUGCUCUCGGGUGACGAGUGGCGGACGGGUGAGUAAUGUCUGGGGAUCUGCCCGAUAGAGGGGGAUAACCACUGGAAACGGUGGCUAAUACCGCGUAACGUCGCAAGACCAAAGAGGGGGACCUUCGGGCCUCUCACUAUCGGAUGAACCCAGAUGGGAUUAGCUAGUAGGCGGGGUAACGGCCCACCUAGGCGACGAGCCCUAGCUGGUCUGAGAGGAUGACCAGCCACACUGGAACUGAGACACGGUCCAGACUCCUACGGGAGGCAGCAGUGGGGAAUAUUGCACAAUGGGCGCAAGCCUGAUGCAGCCAUGCCGCGUGUAUGAAGAAGGCCUUCGGGUUGUAAAGUACUUUCAGCGGGGAGGAAGGCGAUGUGGUUAAUAACCGCGUCGAUUGACGUUACCCGCAGAAGAAGCACCGGCUAACUCCGUGCCAGCAGCCGCCGUAA